rfam:Glycine soja cultivar W05 scaffold1324_31, whole genome shotgun sequence.
GUGAAUGAUGAAAUAAGCACUGGGCUCUGAGCAGGAUCUGCUAUAUGUGAAGCACAAUGCUAGCCUAGAAAGCUAUGCCUGACUA